AUUUACAUCGCGCGGGGGCCUCUUCGUCUCGUUCGAGCGAUGUCUCAAAUCAUCUCAUUGAAUCUCAGUAAACCCUACCUCAAAUACGUUGAGGUUGUGAAUUUAUGAACAAAGUGAGAUGACCUUUUUGGUGCAAUGCCAUGAUUUUUCCCGGGAAAAGUCGACACCCAAAAUACUCAAGAAAUGUGUCACAGGCUGAGUUAAAUUCCUUAGGAGAAUAUGAAGAGCCAUAUUGGUUUACGUUCAAUAAGUGCUUCUGCUGCGUUGAAAAGUGAAUUACUGUCCAAUAUGAAGAAGCUCUAGUUUGAAGUUUCAAAUACUACUUGCAACAAGAAGUUGGAAAUUGGAUGUGAGAGAGAAAUCGAGUCAACUACAGUCUACAGCAUGUCUUAUCACUGUUCUGUUAUAACUGAUCCAUCAGAUAAUCUAAAAGAAGAGGCAAUUAAGCAAACGAUCAAUGCGGUAAGAGAUAUGGUCAUUGUGCAUUCUGAUUGGAAUUGAAGCUGCUAUUGCAGUUAAGAUGGCGAACUAAUGAUAUUUUUCACUGUUUCGAUCAGUGGGUACGUCUUGAUGUUUUCAUCUAUGAAAGUGGCAAGACAAUCAACUAGAGUGGAUUGGAAUCUUCUAGAUUGUGACAAAUCUGUUAAAUUUUAUUACUAAAUUAUGCUUUAAGAAUGUUCAAUGAGUUGAUUUUGAUGUUUUCAUACACAAGUCGCCCAAUUAGAGAAACACUAUGAUUACAAAGAACAAGGGCCAGUAGACUCACAGACCUGGAAAUGUAGGAAAAUCAUAGUUGAGCUUGGAUUUAUACAAAGAUUUUAGAAGAAUUUAAAUGGAAAAAGGAGGCCAUCAUAUGAUGCAGAUCUGACUUUUCUUAUCAGAGAAUUUUUUUUUUUUUUUUGAGAAAAGAUAGCACGCUAUCCGCUUUAUUCAUUAAACUGAUGAAUUAAGCUACAAGAGUGGGGCAACUCGGCCCCGAGGGACUCUUAUCAAAGAAAAUUGGGUGAUUGGUUAUGCGGCGAUAAAUCUCUGUCUCACCAUUGAUUGCGAUAUUAAAUCAAUCAUAAAGUGUCAUCUAUGUUACUGGGAUUGUACUAGCCUACAUGUUUGUAAACUGCUGACCCGACACGGCGACUCUUAAUUUGA